rnacentral:rRNA from 1 species
GACGAACGCUGGCGGCGUGCCUAAUACAUGCAAGUCGAGCGGACAGAUGGGAGCUUGCUCCCUGAAGUCAGCGGCGGACGGGUGAGUAACACGUGGGCAACCUGCCUGUAAGACUGGGAUAACUUCGGGAAACCGGAGCUAAUACCGGAUACGUUCUUUUCUCGCAUGAGAGAAGAUGGAAAGAUGGUUUCGGCUAUCACUUACAGAUGGGCACGCGGCGCAUUAGCUAGUUGGUGAGGUAAUGUCUUACCAAGGAGACGAUGCGUAGCCGACCUGAGAGGGUGAUCGGCCACACUGGGACUGAGACACGGCCCAGACUCCUACGGGAGGCAGCAGUAGGGAAUCUUCCGCAAUGGACGAAAGUCUGACGGAGCAACGCCGCGUGAACGAUGAAGGCCUUCGGGUCGUAAAGUUCUGUUGUUAGGGAAGAACAAGUACCAGAGUAACUGCUGGUACCUUGACGGUACCUAACCAGAAAGCCACGGCUAACUACGUGCCAGCAGCCGCGGUAAAAC